rnacentral:lncRNA from 1 species
GCAUCAGCUCCUACAGCGCAGUAAAGUUACUGCUUCUCCUUGACAGUCAAGCAGGGGAGCAUUAUUCACCCAGAAAGAGGGAGGUAUCAUAAAACCAGCACUCAGCCACCCUUAGUCAUUGGGACAGACGGGAUUCAUGCAAUUUGUCCCACUGUGCCAUUCGGAUGACUGCCUAUGAUUCGUUCCCUUUCAGCCAGCCUGCAACAGGAGGGUUUCGGGAGCUUCAAGGAGGAAACAGCUCAUCUGUCAAGCAGAAGAGUACAGAUAACCAUCUCCUCCGCAUUCCUAGCAGGCCCAUAAGCACUGUUUGUUAAAAGGAUUAUAUGCUGGGUCAAGGUGUCACACCUUUACACUUAUUACAGCUUCUUCGGCAACUUGGAAUCAUAAAGUUAGUCAUGGAUGAAAAGACUAAACAUUGAGAAGUGUCAGCCAG